rfam:Triticum aestivum genome assembly, contig: Triticum_aestivum_CS42_TGACv1_scaffold_002908_1AL
AUAGUACUCCUUCCGUCCAUAAAUACUUGUCAUCAAAAUAGAUUAAAAUGGAUGUAUCUAGAACUAAAAUAUAUCUAGAUACAUCCCCUUUUAUUUAUCUCCUUUUAUUUAUUUUGAUGACAAGUAUUUCCGGACGGAGGGAAUAUUUU